GUUUUUGCUUUGGUGGGACAUAUACUAAAAUUGGAAGGAUACGGAAAGAUAGCAUGGCCCCUGGGAAGCAUUCCAUAUUUUUUACCUUAUAAAUGGUAGAUUUUA
rnacentral:snRNA from 1 species